UAGGGAAUCUUCGGCAAUGGACGGAAGUCUGACUGAGCAACGCCGCGUGAGUGAAGAAGGUUUUCGGAUCGUAAAGCUCUGUUGUUAGAGAAGAACGCCGGUAGGAGUGGAAAAUCUACCAAGUGACGGUAACUAACCAGAAAGGGACGGCUAACUACGUGCCAGCAGCCGCGGUAAUACGUAGGUCCCGAGCGUUUUCCGGAUUUAUUGGGCGUAAAGCGAGCGCAGGCGGUUCUUUAAGGCUGAAGUGAAAGGCAGUGGCUUAACCAUUGUACGCUUUGGAAACUGGAGGACUUGAGUGGAGAAGGGGAAAGUGGAAUUCCAUGUGUAGCGGUGAAAUGCGUAGAUAUAUGGAGGAACACCGGUGGCGAAAGCGGCUAUCUGGUCAGUAACUGACGCUGAGGCUCGAAGGCGUGGGGAGCAAACAGG
rnacentral:rRNA from 1 species